AAUCCAUAGGUUAAUGAGGCGAACCGGGGGAACUGAAACAUCUAAGUACCCCGAGGAAAAGAAAUCAACCGAGAUUCCCCCAGUAGCGGCGAGCGAACGGGGAGGAGCCCAGAGCCUGAAUCAGCAUGUGUGUUAGUGGAAGCGUCUGGAAAGGCGCGCGAUACAGGGUGACAGCCCCGUACACAAAAGCGCAUGUGCUGUGAGCUCGAUGAGUAGGGCGGGACACGUGGUAUCCUGUCUGAAUAUGGGGGGACCAUCCUCCAAGGCUAAAUACUCCUGACUGACCGAUAGUGAACCAGUACCGUGAGGGAAAGGCGAAAAGAACCCCGGCGAGGGGAGUGAAAAAGAACCUGAAACCGUGUACGUACAAGCAGUGGGAGCACCCUUUGGGGUGUGACUGCGUACCUUUUGUAUAAUGGGUCAGCGACUUAUAUUCUGUAGCAAGGUUAACCGUAUAGGGGAGCCGGAGGGAAACCGAGUCUUAACCGGGCGUUAAGUUGCAGGGUAUAGACCCGAAACCCGG
rnacentral:rRNA from 1 species